CCGAGUUUACGACUCCCAAACCCCUGUGAACAUACCUACUAUUGUUUGCCUCGGCAGGAUCAGCCCGCGCCCCGGUAAAACGGGACGGCCCCGCCAGAGGAUCCCACUAAACUCUGUUUUCUAUAUGUAACUUCUGAGUAACAAACCAUAAAUAAAUCA
rnacentral:misc_RNA from 1 species